AUCAUGCAGCAACAGAGCAUAAAGGAUGCAUUGGAGAGUACUGCAUGCCUUCAGCAUCUUGGGCCUGCUACGAGCAGAGUUCCAUUCCCUCAUGUAUUGAACCCAGCUUUCUACAGAGCUUCGCUUGUGUAAGAACACAUUGCGUGAUAUCUCAACAAACUGGAAUCAUCUGGCACCAACUAUGUUUGACUUACUGUCCCGCUAAAAGGUGUAUAAGAAAAAUCAAUAUCUGUUUUGUUU